rnacentral:lncRNA from 10 species
AAGGAGGGGUGUGGCCUAGACCACUAAGGGCCGUGACGUGGUGCCGCUGAGCUUGGACCCCGACCAGAAGAUAGAGAUUGAAACGAUGAGGAAAACGAAGUGCCUAAUCCCCGCUGGACGCUAACUGCAGGCACCCAGAAAUACUCUCCACACCAUGCUGCACUGCUGCGGAUGAGGGAAGGAUGGUGUCGGGGCUUCAAGACUGUUUUUCCUACCUCUUCAGUGCCUCUUUCAGUGAUAUGAAGUUAAAACCAGGAACAUGGAGGAGACAUAUUUCCACCUAUUUCUCUCCAUAAGUAUAAAAGACCAUAAAAGACCAUCUAGGGACUUCAGAACCCAAAUAAUGACACAAUGGUUCUGAAGCAACACUGUAACUGCUGAAUGCUUCUGGCUGCUUCUUUCCACAGUAAAAGAUGAAAAGAAAUAUCUUUUAUUGAGAUAGACUGAGGUCCAGGAAAAACAAGUGCAACUUCAUGGUCCUUUUCUUCAUAUUCUGGAAUACAAGAAAACGUGUAAAUGUUUGCAAAUUCAGGUGCUAAGAGUUUUGCAUGUAUAGCAGUACUUUUACCAUCUGUUUCAUUUGGAUGUUUAAUGAUGUCAAUCU